AGUUCGACCGGGUCCACGCCGCGGCUGACCACCAGGUAGUCCCGCAUCACGAUGCCGUGCCGGUUCUC
rnacentral:sRNA from 1 species